GUGCUUGCUUCAGCAGCAUGUAUACUAAAAUUGGAAUGAUACAAAGAUUAGCAUGCCCCCUGCACAAGAUGAUAUGCAAAUGUCUGAAGUGUUCCAUAUCUUU
rnacentral:snRNA from 1 species